GAGAUGGAAGGAGUGCCAGCGCCAUUGUCAAUAUGUCAGAGUCUGAAGCUACAUGUAGACAUUAUUCAGUGGGACCUUCUUGGGAUAGCAUACAUGCUACGAAUUUCACAGUGCCUGGAAAAAUUAGUCAUAUGCCUGACUGGCCUCCCCCUAUCAAUGUAUAGUCUUGACGAAGAAUCGAAAGAAAGUUUUAACUAUGAUGAAGAAGAUUUUUGUGUUCACGAAAGGGAAAUUUCAAUGCUUGGCGAAACAUCUCAAGAGAGUUGAGAUCACCAUUGAUAAUUUUGGGUUGGAACGUCUGCUUGCCCUGAUUAAGUUUCUUCUUGGUGAUGCACUUGCGCUGGAGAAGAUGAUUAUCAAGGCUAAUUUGAACAUGGGACAUGGACAAGAACAUGUUCGAGCCACUAUUCUUUCGAAACUACUUGUUGUGAGCCAAAAUAUGCUCAGCUAUCGAAGAGCUUCCAGAAAUGCUGAAGUUAUCUUCAGCCACUCUUUCAAAUAGAUGUCCUUCUUAAAGCAUAUGAAAAUCUGGGUUUCUUGUUAAUCUAAUGGCAGGCGUAUUUUGCCUUGGCACUACACUACUCAUUCUUAUCUACAUUGUCAGGUUUUAACAUGUACCUAAUCGACACUUCUGUCAAGUUUAGUAUAGUUGUAAGUAUGAACCUCCUUAAGGAAUGAUAUUAAUGGUAGUGUUUUUGAUUAUCAGCA